rnacentral:rRNA from 1 species
UACGUAGGUGGCAAGCGUUGUCCGGAUUUAUUGGGCGUAAAGAGCUCGUAGGCGGUCUGUCGCGUCUGCUGUGAAAACUCGGGGCUUAACCCCGGGCCUGCAGUGGGUACGGGCAGACUAGAGUGUGGUAGGGGAGGCUGGAAUUCCUGGUGUAGCGGUGAAAUGCGCAGAUAUCAGGAGGAACACCGAUGGCGAAGGCGGCUCUCCGGACGGUGACUGACGCUGAGACGCGAAAGCGUGGGGAGCAAACAGG